rnacentral:rRNA from 1 species
GAUGAACGCUGGCGGCGUGCCUAAUACAUGCAAGUCGAGCGAACGGACGAGAAGCUUGCUCCUCUGAUGUUAGCGGCGGACGGGAGAGUAACACGUGGACAACCUACCUAUAAGACUGGGAUAACUUCGGGAAACCGGAGCUACUACCGGAUAAUAUUUUGAACUGCAUGGUUCAAAAGUGUAAGACGGUCUUGCUGUCACUUAUAGAUGGAUCCGCGCUGCAUUAGCUAGUUGGUAAGGUAACGGCUUACCAAGGCAACGAUGCAUAGCCGACCUGAGGGGGUGGUCGACCACACGGGAUGUGAGACACGGUCCAGACACCGACGGGAGGCAGCAGUAGGGAAUCUUCCGCGAUGGGGGAAAGCCGAACGGAGCAACACCGCGUGAAUGAUGAAGGACUUCGGAUCGUAAAACGCUGUUGUUAGUAAAAAACAUAUGUGUAAGUAGCUGUGCACAUCUUGACGGUACCUAAACAGAAAGCCACGGCUAACUACGUG